AUAUAUCGAUCCUCACCUCUUCUCCCUCGCAAAAACUGAAGGAAAACGACAGCAGCAUGACAAGGAUGGUGCACUACUUGAUGGCUACUAUGUUCGUGGUUCUUGUGAUGAUUUAUUCCAACUCUACAUCCUGCCAAGCCAGCUUGUUCCCUUCGAGUGUGAAGCUGCAGCCACCUUGCUUUGAGCCUCCGACUCACCGCUGUGUGGAUGGCCGCAGCUGCGUAUUUGUUUGCCAGUAUAACGGAAUCAGGACCUAUAGGGCAUUUUGCAAACAUCCUACACAUGCUCAGGAGCCCUAUUUGUGCUGCUGCCCACUAUAGAAUUGAAUGGUGUAAUUAACAAUUAAUGCAUCAAGCAUGUCUGCUGCAAAUUAAAUAAAAUCUGCUCAUCCAUCAUUCCAUC